rnacentral:rRNA from 1 species
UUGGAGGGCAAGUCUGGUGCCAGCAGCCGCGGUAAUUCCAGCUCCAAUAGCGUAUAUUAAAGUUGCUGCAGUUGAAAAGCUCGUAGUUGAAUUUCGGGACCGAUAUAUCGGUCGUGCCUCGGUACGUACUGGUAUUUUCGGUUUCUCCCUUCUGACGAACCUUGAUGUCAUUAAUUUGGUGUCUUGGGGAAUCAGGACUGUUACUUUGAAAAAAUUAGAGUGUUUAAAGCAGGCUCACGCUUGAAUACAUUAGCAUGGAAUAAUGAAAUAGGACGUUUGAUUCUAUUUUGUUGGUUUCUAGGAUCGACGUAAUGAUUAAUAGGGAUAGUUGGGGGCAUUAGUAUUCAAUUGUCAGAGGUGAAAUUCUUGGAUUUAUUGAAGACUAACUACUGCGAAAGCAUUUGCCAAGGAUGUUUUCAUUAAUCAAGAACGAAAGUUAGGGGAUCGAAGACGAUCAGAUACCGUCGUAGUCUUAACCAUAAACUAUGCCGACUAGGGAUCGGAUGAUGUUAAUUUUUUAAUGACUCAUUCGGCGCCUUACGGGAAAC